CCCUUAGAUGUCCUGGGCCGCACGCGCGUUACACUGAUGCAUUCAACGAGCAUAUAACCUUGGCCGAGAGGCCUGGGUAAUCUUGUUAACAUGCAUCGUGAUAGGGAUAGAUUAUUGCAAUUAUUAAUCUUGAACGAGGAAUUCCUAGUAAUCGCAGUUCAUCAAACUGCAAUGAUUACGUCCCUGCCCUUUGUACACACCGCCCGUCGCACCUACCGAUUGGGUGUGCUGGUGAAAUGUUCGGAUCGGCCGUUUGUCGCGGUUUCCGCGGCUCGUGGCUGAGAAGUUCAUUAAACCCUCCCACCUAGAGGAAGGAGAAGUCGUAACA
rnacentral:rRNA from 1 species